rnacentral:rRNA from 1 species
GACGAACGCUGGCGGCGUGCUUAACACAUGCAAGUCGAACGGUGAAGCUCCAGCUUGCUGGAGUGGAUCAGUGGCGAACGGGUGAGUAACACGUGAGCAACCUGCCCCUGACUCUGGAAUAAGCGCUGGAAACGGCGUCUAAUACUGGAUACGAGAAGGGUCCGCAUGGGCACUUUCUGGAAAAUUUUUCGGUUGGGGAUGGGCUCGCGGCCUAUCAGCUUGUUGGUGAGGUAAUGGCUCACCAAGGCGACGACGGGUAGCCGGCCUGAGAGGGCGACCGGCCACACUGGGACUGAGACACGGCCCAGACUCCUACGGGAGGCAGCAGUGGGGAAUAUUGCACAAUGGGCGAAAGCCUGAUGCAGCGACGCCGCGUGAGGGAUGACGGCCUUCGGGUUGUAAACCUCUUUCAGCAGGGAAGAAGCGAAAGUGACGGUACCUGCAGAAGAAGCACCGGCUAACUACGUG